GGGUUGUGAGGUUAAGCGAACAAGCGUACACGGUGGAUGCCCUGGCAGUCAGAGGCGAUGAAGGACGUGCUAAUCUGCGAAAAGCGCCGGUAAGGUGAUAUGAACCGUUAUAACCGGCGAUGUCCGAAUGGGGAAACCCGGUGCACUUCGGUGCAUCAUCGUUAGCUGAAUACAUAGGCUAACGAGGCGAACCGGGGGAACUGAAACAUCUAAGUACCCCGAGGAAAAGAAAUCAACCGAGAUUCCCCCAGUAGCGGCGAGCGAACGGGGA
rnacentral:rRNA from 1 species